rnacentral:misc_RNA from 1 species
GGGUGUAGGAGCAUUCUUCUUUAUCCAGGAGGGGCUACUAAUGUAUGCUGUGCAUUAUGCAAUACAGUCACCUCAGUUCCUCCUCCUGGAACAGAUAUGGCUCAACUUAUAUGUGGAGGUUGCAGGACAUUGCUCAUGUACGCACGUGGGGCAACGAGUGUUAGAUGCUCAUGCUGUCAUACAGUAAACCUUGCACCUGCUACAAACCAGGUUGCACAUGUUAACUGUGGAAACUGCCGAACAACACUUGUCUUUCCUUAUGGAGCUCCAUCUGUCAAGUGUGCGAUCUGUCACUAUGUUACUAAUGUUGGUAUAUCCAAUGUGAGGGUUCCCAUACCAGUGCACAGGCGUAAUGGAACAAUAAGCUCUGGGAUGCCCCCUUCAUCAUCAUCUCAGAGCCAAACAGUAGUAGUUGAGAACCCCG